UGGGGAAUUUUGCACAAUGGAGGAAACUCUGAUGCAGCGACGCCGCGUGAGUGAUGAAGAUCUUCGGAUUGUAAAACUCUGUCCUUAGUGAAGAUAAUGACAGUAACUAAGAAGCAAGCCCUGGCUAAAUACGUGCCAGCAGCCGCGGUAAUACGUAUGGGGCAAGCGUUGUCCGGAAUUAUUGGGCGUAAAGGGUACGUAGGCGGUUUAAUAAGUCCUAAUUAAAAGGCUAUGGCUCAACCAUAGUAUGGUUAGGAAACUGUUGAACUUGAGUAGAUGAGAGGAAAGUGGAAUUCCAUGUGUAGCGGUGAAAUGCGUAGAUAUAUGGAGGAACACCAAUGGCGAAGGCAACUUUCUGGAAUCAAACUGACGCUGAGGUACGAAGGCGUGGGGAGCAAACAGG
rnacentral:rRNA from 1 species